AUUGAACGCUGGCGGCAGGCCUAACACAUGCAAGUCGAGCGAGCGGCGGACGGGUGAGUAAUGUAUGGGGUCUGCCCGAUAGAGGGGGAUAACUACUGGAAACGGUGGCUAAUACCGCAUACUAUCGGAUAUCUCAUAUGGGAUUAGCUAGUAGGUGGGGUAAAGGCUCACCUAGGCGACGAUCCCUAGCUGGUCUGAGAGGAUGAUCGACCACACAGGGACUGAGACACGGCCCAGACUCCUACGGAGGCAGAAGUGGGGAAGAUUGCACAAUGGGCGCAAGCCUGAUGCAGCCAGGCAGCGUGGAUGAAGAAGGCCUGCGGGUAGUAGAGUACUUUCAGUCGAGAGGCGUUACCGACAGAAGAAGCAACGGCUAACUCCGUGCCAGCAGCCGCGGUAAUAC
rnacentral:rRNA from 1 species